rnacentral:rRNA from 1 species
UACGAAGGUCCCGAGCGUUGUUCGGAAUCACUGGGCGUAAAGGGAGCGCAGGCGGCGUGGCAAGUCAGACGUGAAAUCCCGGGGCUCAACCCCGGAACUGCGUCCGAUACUGCCAUGCUCGAGCAUUGGAGAGGCAGCUGGAAUUCUUGGUGUAGCAGUGAAAUGCGUGGAUAUCAAGAGGAACACUCGUGGCGAAAGCGAGCUGCUGGACAAUUGCUGACGCUGAGGCUCGAAGGCCGGGGGAGCGAAAGGG